UUUUUUUUUUUUUUUUUUUUUUUUGAUUCUCGUUGUAUAUAUGAAGCCCUCAAAUCCGGAGGAUAGAACAAAAAAAAGGGAAAACAGCCAGUUAUACAGCCAGCCACGACCAAAAUAGAGUCAAAGAGAAAGAAAUUGUAAUUCCAAAUAAUAC
rnacentral:ribozyme from 13 species